rnacentral:rRNA from 1 species
GACGAACGCUGGCGGCGUGCUUAACACAUGCAAGUAGAACGGUAAGGGCGCUUCGGGGGUCCCCGGGUGAGGUACGGGUGAGUAAGAAGUGCGCAAGCAGCCCUUGACGCAGGGGUGAAAGUCGGAAAGAGCUGCUAAUAAAUGCUAUAUAUGGGCACCUGUUUGGGGGGAGGUGGAAAGCUGCGGCGGUUGAGGCUGGACCAGCGGCCUAUCAGCUGGUUGGUGAGGUAAUGGCGCACAAGGGUCGCGACGGGUAGCCGGCCUGAGAGUGCGACCGGCCCCACUGGGACUGAGAUACCGCCCAGACUCCUACUGGAGGCAGCAGUGGGGAAUAUUGCACACUGGGCGCAAGCCUGAUGCAGGAACGCCGCGUGCGGGAUGACGGCCUUCGGGUUGUAACCCGCUUUCAGUAGGAACGAAGGGUGACUGACGGUACCUACAGAAGAAGGACCGGCUAACUACGUG